UCUUUUUUCUUUUUUCUUUUUUCUUUUUUCUUUUUUGGUUUUUCAAGACAGGGUUUCUCUGUGUAGCCUUGGCUGUCCUGGAACUCACUUUGCAGACCAGGCUGGCCUCGAACUCAGAAAUCCGCCUGCCCCUGCUUCCCAAGUGCUGGGAUUAAAGGCGUGUGCCACCACGCCCGGCUGGUUCUGCUCUUCUUUUCUUCCUUUAUGGAUUUAUCACUUACCAGUAUAUUGGUACUUCACACGGUGUGGUCCUGUAUUGUCAGCAGCAUUAAAAAUGCAAAGUUUUGUAUCUACUACAUACUGACUCUGGCAGGCAACCUGUCUGAUCAAGUGAAUGUAUUGGGUGGACAUGGAAGACAAGCCACAAAAGACUAGGGUACAGUCUUAGCUCUCUCUCUCACUGAUUAAGCACAACUGCCUUUGUCAUUGAAUUAUCCCACCAAAAGCCAACCUGAGAUGUGAGAGUGGACACAGACACUGGAUACUCAUUAGGCAAGCCUUGGGCUUACCACCGUGUCCGAUAUCGAGAUUAGAAUCUGCCAAAGACUCCAAGGCAUAGAACCUAGUUAAAUGGUGCUGGAGUUCCUGACUCACAGAACUGUAGGGUAAAGAAUGUCUGUGGCUUCCAACUUCUUGCUUGGAUUAUGCACAAAUAUACAACUAAUAUGGCACUGUCGAAACUGCAAGUGUGGCCCUUGAAUAUGGACUUUACCAUAUUCUCCUAGAUGUGCCUCCUUCAGGUAGACUGAGAAGCACCUAUGUGACUAAGUCAAGACCCAGAGCCUUGGAGCCAGAGUGCCUAGGUUCAAAUCCUAGCUUGAUUGCUUCUCAGCUGUAAUGUACUUUUCCUGUUUUAAUGUACUUGUCUGGUCUUAAUGUGUUACUCAGAAUGGUCCAUACCUUUAGUCUUUUAAAGAAGAUUGUGUUAAUGGAUUUAAAGGACUUAGCAUGUUACCUGGCAACUGUAUGUACAAUAAAUUUCGUUUCAACAAAUAACUCACUCAAUAAACUCUAAGGCACGGAGUCAGGGCAUAGACUAGAACUGCAAAGAUUCAUGGUGCAGCCUACAUCCCUUGGCACAUCAUCCUAUUAGGGAGACACAAAACAAUAAAACUGAGUAAGGAUUUGAAGUGCUAGGAUCUGCAUGGCACCUACACACAGCAGACUGGAGCCCAGGCUAUGUGUGGUCUAACCUGGUUGUAGGGCACUUGGAAAAUUGAAAAAGACUAUGUACUUGAUGGUGCACUGCUUUAAUUUCAGCACUCAGGAGGCAGAGGCAGGGGGACUCUGUGUGUUUGAAGUCAUCUUGAUCUACACACUGAGUUCUAGUCCAUCUAAUGUAACAUCAUGAGACUCCAGCACAAACAAAUAAACAAACAAAAAGGAGAUGUUCUUGAUCCCAUCAACAUUCUACUUCAAAACUCAGUCUCUAUGGCUUCUUUUUCCUAUGGAUAACAGAUAUAGUCACCAAAAACGUCCUCUGAGUAGCCAUUGCUUGGCAUGCAGGAUCUAGGUGCCUAGUUCACAACAUAGUUGCCUCUUGGUGGUCUUUUCUGUUCCUGAACGGUUAGCCUGGUUCAUCUAGCUGAGAGAGUUGGUUUUUUUUUUUUCUAGAAGGUUCUUCCCCUUGCAAAGUUGACUCUUUUCUUACCCUGAUACUUGUUUAAAAGCUUCCUGCUACUGUUUAAAUGCCUCCUGAGAUAGAGAUAGUGUGUCUGAUCACCGGACUUAAACAAUAUGUCCAUUCUUGUGCACUUUCCAUAUCCUAAGCAGUUCUAGCAUUUAGUAUUUACUUAAUUUGUUUGUUUAUCUGUUGGCUACCAUUUCCCUGAGAAGGCUUCACAGUCUCUAGGUGGUAGUAGAGGUCUGUCUGGCUUACCAUGUUGCAUACCCAGGAGACAGAAAGUUGACAUUUAAUAAAUAUUUGUUAUUGAAUGGUUAAGCGGAUGGAUGAACAUGUUUUGUUUUGUUUUUUUUUUAUAGCCACUGCAACGCUUUAAUAUGAUUUGCUAAAAUGCCAAUCUUAAUUAUGAAGGACGUUAAUUCAAAUUCUAGGAGACACAAGUGCUAAAAACAGAGAAUGUGGAAUCAAAUCUCACUGGGGAGCGAUGAGAGAGGAGACAGCCAGUAGACUCUUGGACAUUCACCAAGUACUGCCUCCAAGGUGGUAGUGCUAGUUGAAAUGGUUUAUGUGCACAGACAUCUGAAGACUCAAUCAUCAUCGUUUUGGAGCAGCACAUGGGGAGAUUGAGGUUUAGAAUAGUAAAAUAACUUGCUUAAAGACCCAGCCGAUAUUGUGCAAUCGAACUCAAAAGAUAAGACUUCAAAGCAUCAUUAUCCUAACCGGCCUCCAUGAUAUGCAGCUCACUACACAGAUACUUGGUUUAAUUGUCUCCUCCAUUCUAGUCUCUCCAGAUUUAACCUUGGUCUUGGCACAGCCUACCCAAAAGAGACCCUUCUCCCAACCCACUCUCUGCUCCUAGGGACUUGGCCUCUGGGCAGGACCCCAGGGUUUUCCUAGUUCUUACUGGCAUCCUGUUCAACCUUUUAUUCUGGACUAUGCCCAGUCCACUGUGGCUCAGCCAACACUCAGAACUAUUCUCUACAAGGGACCCAAAACUGCCAUGAUAGGCUAAGGCUCAGUUAAGAACAUCCUUCAGUCCUCAGGAGAAAAGCUUCAGAGAUCCACAACUGCACAAUGUGUAGACAGGAAGAGACUUUGGAGCAAUCAAUUCUAAAUUGAUGUCAUUACUGAACCUGUCAAGGCUCAGUGUUCUAUGUAGAAGAGGAAGCAGAAAGAUUUUGAGAGCCAAAGGUGGUCGAUGUCUCAAGGAAACAGAACUGAUGCAUAUAUGAAUUUACAAGCACUGUGGCUGCACACACUAGCCCUGCACAGGAUCAAACCAGACUAAAUCCAGGCACUUAGCAAGGGAAGUGAAAACAAAUCCCCACCCCCUAACGAAGACGCUAUUUGCAGUCUGUAUUUUCUGGGAAAGAGCUAUUAGUUUUCUCCAAUGGAGAGUCAUAUUAAUCACACUCCAGGGCAGGACCCAUGCCCAGGGGUAGCUCACCAACAAAACAAACCCCAUGUGUUUUGUGUGUUUGUGUUGUGUGCAUGUGUGUGUGUGCGCCUUUUGACCUUUGUCUUGUUUUAGUAAUUUUUCUUUUUGUCUUACCAAUUUUCUUCUUAUAGUUUGCCUGGUUUCCUGUGUUUCCUGAGGUGGUUUUGUGUUGUUAUUGUUUUGUGUUUGUUUCACAAGAGAGAGAGAGAGACAGAGAGACAGAGAGAUAGAGACAGAGACAGAGACAGAGAGAGAACAUGAAUGAAGAUGGGCAGAUCAGGAGGUGGGGAGAAUCUGGGAGGAGUUUUGAGAGGGAAAAGAAUAUGAUCAAAAUAUAGAGCAUGAACAUAUAUUGCUUAAAUAUUUUUUGAUAAUUGUGUGCUUGAAUAGAGGUGUGCACAGUUAACAAUCAGAUGAGACUACGCCCCCACAAGGGUCUCUUAAGGUUACAUCUACUCAUGAGCAUGAAGAGGCGGCUGUGGCCCAAAGGUCAUUUAGUCAUAGUGGCUUCUUUAACAACCAACCAGUCCCAUAUUUUUGGUCAGAUAUGCAGGAGAGUGACCCUUUACCUCCUAUCGACAAAUGUGUCUCAUUCUAAACAGCAGGUUUGUUUGUGCCUUCCUAGAAACCCCGAAGGAGUAGCAUUCAUUCUCUUAGUCCAAACAGCAGGUAAUUUAAGACAAUUGGCAGUUCCUGCUGCACUGAAUCCCAAGACCAGUCAAAGCAAGGAGGGUGACAGGUUAGACUAGAGCUCAGAUGGAGCAGCUCUAGUCAUUGGGGGAAAUGGUGAGCACUCCUGUAGUGGGGGUUAGAGGGGGGGGGGGCGGACUCCAGAGAGUAUCUACCUCAUGUUUCUAACAGGCCUCAAGUGAGGGUUCCCAUUAGCAACAAGUCACCAUAGGCCAAAAAGAACAAGAAAGAAAUCAGAGUUAUCCCAUCUGCAACAGGACUGAAAGCUGCAUUUUUUUUCCCCCUCAACAUGAGGAAUUACUGGACCAGCAGCUCUGGUAAGCAACUGCAGACUUAAGUCUUCAGUAGGAGGGAACAAAUAGGAAUUAUGCCCCUGUGAGCAAUUCCCUGCUCAAGGCUUUUAUUUAAAGCCAGAAUGCGUAUUUUUAGUGUACUUUAGUGAGCUUCAAAUAAUCAGAUUUUUGUUGACAUAAGGCCUGUGCUGAAAUUUACAUACAAAUAUACCAAAAUAUAUUUAUUAGUUAUCUUUAUACAAUUUUCCUUAGUGUCUGUGUUGCCCACACGUCUACCAUGUGAUCUGUGUCAAGAACA
rnacentral:lncRNA from 1 species